CCUACGGGGGGCAGCAGUGAGGAAUAUUGGUCAAUGGUCGUAAGCCUGAACCAGCCAAGUCGCGUGCAGGAAGAAGGCCCUAUGGGUUGUAAACUGCUUUUAUGCGGGGACAAAAUGCGCCACGCGUGGUGUUUUGUAGGUACCCCAAGAAUAAGCACCGGCUAAUUCCGUGCCAGCAGCCGCGGUAAUACGGAAGGUGCGGGCGUUAUCCGGAUUUAUUGGGUUUAAAGGGUGCGUAGGCGGUAAGUAAAGUCAGCGGUAAAAGACCGGGGCUCAACCCCGGCGAGCCGUUGAAACUGUCGGACUAGAGACGGAGAGAAGUACGCGGAAGGCGAGGUGUAGCGGUGAAAUGCAUAGAUAGCGCGCAGAACUCCGAUUGCGAAGGCAGCGUACCGGCGCCGGACUGACGCUGAGGCACGAAAGCGUGGGUAUCGAACAGGAGUAGAUACCCUUGUAGUC
rnacentral:rRNA from 1 species